GGCAACAAUGUUGAGCUGUUACAGGCAUGUAAUGAUUCUUGCGGAAAUGAUUGCAUUCGAGGAAUCUAAGGGACUGAGUUGUC